rnacentral:rRNA from 1 species
GUGGGGAAUAUUGGACAAUGGGCGAAAGCCUGAUCCAGCCAUGCCGCGUGUGUGAAGAAGGUCUUCGGAUUGUAAAGCACUUUAAGUUGGGAGGAAGGGCAGUAAGUUAAUACCUUGCUGUUUUGACGUUACCGACAGAAUAAGCACCGGCUAACUUCGUGCCAGCAGCCGCGGUAAUACGAAGGGUGCAAGCGUUAAUCGGAAUUACUGGGCGUAAAGCGCGCGUAGGUGGUUCAGCAAGUUGGAGGUGAAAUCCCCGGGCUCAACCUGGGAACUGCCUCCAAAACUACUGAGCUAGAGUACGGUAGAGGGUAGUGGAAUUUCCUGUGUAGCGGUGAAAUGCGUAGAUAUAGGAAGGAACACCAGUGGCGAAGGCGACUACCUGGACUGAUACUGACACUGAGGUGCGAAAGCGUGGGGAGCAAACAGGAUUAGAUACCCGUGUAGUCC